rnacentral:rRNA from 1 species
AGCCUGAACGCUGGCGGCGUGGCUAAGACAUGCAAGUCGUACGGUGUAGCAAUACACAGUGGCGAACGGGAGAGUAAUGAAUCGCUAAUGUGCCCCGGACUCUGAGAUAGCCAUCCGAAAGGAUGGGUAAUACCAGAUGAUAUAUCUUUAUCGCAUGAUAGAGAUCUCAAAGGUCCGCCGGUCUGGGAGCAGGCGAUUUUGUAUCAGCUAGUUGGUGAGGUAACGGCUCACCAAGGCGACGACGCAUAGCCGGACUGAGAGGUUGGCCGGCCUCAUUGGGACUGAGACACUGCCCAGACUCCUACGGGGGGCUGCAGUAACGAAUCUUCCGCAAUGCACGAAAGUGUGACGGAGCGACGCCGCGUGUGGGACGAAGUCCUUCGGGAUGUAAACCACUGUCAGGGGUUACCAAGUUCUGAGGAGCCCCAGAGGAAGGGACGGCUAACUCUGUGCCAGCAGCCGC